AUUUUUAUAUUGAAAAUUAAUAUAUAUACAUAUUUUAUUAUUUUCCAGUGAAAAAGGAUGGCGCCCAAGAUUCAAAAGCAGUUUGAAGGCCACGGAGCAAAACCACAAAAAUCAUCCAAGCCCUCAAAACAUACAAGCUAUGCAUCAAACGGAAGACUAGUUACUGCUCCAAGAAGAUAUUGGACUUUAUCGGAUGAACCGUCUCGAAAAAGGCUAAGAAAAUCGCUCAACUCUGUACACAACGAGAUACAAGCUUUAAGUAGUGGUUAUAAAGAUAAUCCCAAAUUUGCUUCAUUGUUGAAGUCGAGUGAUAAAUUGCUUAUGGAUUCGCAUAAGCCAAAGUCUACACCAAAGAGUAAUCAAUCCUCAUCUCAGAUACAGCAAAAUCAGAAAAAAAAUUGACCAAGCCAAGUGUUAAAACAUUCAAAAAAAUUGCCUUUACCUAAAAAUACUUCUCCGAGCACAGUAUCACCAUUGCCAGUAGAUCCAAAAACUUCAAAUGCAAAGAUAACGGAAACUAUCUCUGAGUCAUCAAAAGAUAAUAGAAAUUCACCAUUACCUGAUUUGCACAAUGAAAACGGAGCUCCUAAUACAAGCACCAAGAAAAAUAAACCAAAGUCGUCUGACCAAAAUCAAAAUGUCCCGCCUGUUAUUAAAAUGAACAAAUAUCUUCAUGCUCUUCAAGCUAAUGUGAACAUUAAUUCCGGAGUUCAAAUUCCAGCUUGGGAAAGCAACAUUUUAGUUCCCGAAAACGUUCUUCUCGACAUUACAACCCGUUUACGUUACUGAAUGAAACUCAGACAUAAUAAUUGGUAGAUUGGUAGAUGAGCUGUUCGAAAGGUGUCCUAAGAUUUACAGAAGUUACAUAUAUCAAAUUCGACAAUGCUGAAAUGUUCAGAAUAUUCAACUUGAGAAAGGAUGGACUUGAAACGACUAUAUUUAAAAUAAAUUGAGAAACUUAUAAAUUAUUUAAGCUUGAAAUUUGUAAAAUUGAUAAUUUUUAUUUAUAUUGUAAACGAGUCAAUCUCGGGAGGGAGUGUUGAAAUAUUGUAUAUUCGCGCCUAAUAUCUCGCUUGACUCUAACGUAGUUGAUUCUACGUCACUACCGUGUGCGCACGCACUUCUUCUACUUCUCGAUAUCGCUUCGACCGUGAACGUCUCGAUCGUCAACGAGCUCUUAAUAAACGACUGAUUUCAUCCGUAUUUGUGUGUUCUUAUUGACUACAUCCUGCUCUAAAUAA